AAGGGCAUAAGUGAUAGGAUACAGGGGAAUGGAUUCAGACUGAAAGAAGGAGAUUAGAUGAGAUAUUAAGAAGAAAUUCUUUAUUGUGAUGGUGGUGAGAUGCUGAAACAUGUUCCUCAGAGAAGCUGUGGAAGUCCCAUCCCUGGACUGCCCAAGAUCAGCCCUCUGCAUCAAGAUGCUGACAUUGGUGUUCCAAACCCAUUUCUAACACUGAUAUAUGAAUAGCUGCACUGAUGAGAAAAGCUCUGAAGUUCUUCUAAAAUCCAUCUCUCUAUAAGGAGCUUCCAAAACUACUUCCUCAG